ensembl:rRNA n-R5s7 nuclear encoded rRNA 5S 7
GUCUAUGGCCAUACCACCCUGAAUGCACCAGAUCUCGUCUGAUCUCAGAAGCUAAGCAGGAUCAGGCCUGGUUGUUAGACUUGGAUGGGAGACUGCCUGCGAAUACCUGGAGUUGUAGGCU